AAGCGAGUAGCUCCAGCUCAAACUGGCCCAUUUGAACCUCUGGAGCGUGGAAGGGGAGAAGGGCGCUGGACAUGAGCGAGAACUGAAUGGAUGACCGGGCUGCUGCCCCGACAGCGCCGCGCAGUGGCCAAAGCUCGGGUAUGCGAGUCCAGAGAUCCAGCUGUGCUCUUCUGUCCCGAGGCUGUGACCCUCAUUAGGUCAACAUGUGCAGGUGCCCACUGGACAUCACCACAUGGAUAUCACAAGGCUUCUCAAAUCCGGAUGUCCUAAAUGAAACACCUCUCUUCCUCAACCCAGUAACCCUCUGACUCCAACCUGCUCCCCUUCCAGCAUUCCAGAUCUCAGCAAAUGGGCCCCUCCCCUCUCCUCCCCACCACCACCCAGAUCAGAAGUGUGGACAUCAGCAUAUUGGGCUCCUCCCUCCCCCUCUCACUCCCCAGUCCAGGCAAUUGCCAGGUCUUAGCAAUUCCACAUGAAUCCCAAAUCUAACCCUCCUUCGUUUCUCCGGGCCUCAGUUCAGCCUGCAUCAUCCACCAUUCAUCAUUCACUUCUGGGCCUGCCCUUUGUAGUGCUCAGGGCAAGACAGAGAUGAAGAAACAGUCUGGUGGAGAGAUGGGCAAUUAGACGCUAUGAGAGAGGUGGCAGGGUGGCUGUGGAAGAAGAGAGGAAGAAGAUGACACUUGGAGAUCUAGAGACAACCCCCUACUCCACAACAAUGAAGAAUCAGCCGGUUUGUAUUCGAAAAGGUCCUGCCUCAGUACCCUCUCUACCCUCUCCACCUUGCAUUCUACUGCCUAAGUGCAGGCCAUACUGAACACAAGACAGUGCAAUUAUAACACACAGCUCACCAAAGAAAGCAAGACAAGCCACUGCAGCAGCAGAAAAUCUAAUUCCAAGAGCAGAGUGACCUGGAGUUAGUUCUCAUUUGAGCUUCAGUUUCCUCACCUGCCAAAUAGAAGCAAUCAUGUGCCCUCUCAGCGUUGUUAUGAGACUCAAAUGAGAGCAUGUAGGAAAGUGCCUGGCCCACACUGGCACUUGGUAUGAGUUGCUUUCUCCCCUAUCAACUGCCAUUUCCAGUAUUAACCAGGAGGAGAAGGAGAGAGGCAGGUCCAGAGAAGUGAUUUUAGAGCCUGCAUAUUUGCAACUAGGCACAGCAUAAUCCUGCAGCUAAACUCAGGCACAGAACCAGAGCUGACAGUCUUUCAGCUCCUCCAAAGUCCCCUACCACAGCCUUUUUCUCACACCUCCAGGGAGUGAGGGAGUUGGCAGAAAAAUGGCUUUUACUAUCUCCCAUGGCCAACUGUAGUUUUCUUGUACUUUGGAUUUUCCAGCCCCUGUGCACAGCCUGGGACAUAGCAUAUGUUCAAUAAAUGAUACUGAAUGUG